UACAAUGGAGGUAGGUGAGAUUCAAAGCAUCCUUUGCUAGUACAUUAGCAAAAGAGUUUUCUGAUCUGGGAAUAUGCAAAAUUGAAAAGAAAGAAAAUCGGGAUGCGAGUGUUUUGAUGUCGAAGAGAAUGAUGAAGAUUUUUUUAAUCGACUUGUUGGUGGUCAAAACCUUGAAGAGGGCCAAACAGUCAGUCUUCAUCGAGAGCUUAUCGAUGCCGGAUUGGAGAGCUUGAUCCAGCGCUGAUCGGAGAGCUAGAGCUUCUCCGACAAGGGGGGAGAUGACAUGCGCUUCUAGCCUCCGUCCUGUGCCAAGAAUCAUGGUUGGCGAUCCGAACCACCAUCCCAACCCUACAGAUUUACUUGUUUCGUUCCAAGCUGCAUUAGAGAAGCUAUCAAUCGAGUUUGGGGGACUUGAUCGAGGAGGAUCCUUUGUCGGUGGUGGUGUGGUUGGUUUCUCUUUGAUUUGGGCAAGCUGCCACUCCCUAGCCGAUGCGAUUGCUUUGAUGGAUGCUUCCUUUGCUGUGAUGGUUCAUCUAUCGAAGAUCAGGAAAUUUGAGUACACCAGAUUUGCCAACAUACCCAUGGGAAGAUUGGCCCUCAAAAAACUCCUGAGGAGGGUAAGCAAUGAAUAAGUCUAGAGAGGGCUAAGCUUGAUUUGAAGUCGAUGAAACUUUGCAGAUUGAAGGGUCUUGCAAAAGGAAUCAAACUCCAAACUCUUGAUGCGAAUUCACAAUGCAAAAAGAGAUGAGAAGAAGUCUUCAGAGCACCACAUCUCAGGCAGGAAGGUCUUCAUUUUUAGAGAAGAGGAUAUUUUCCACUUGUGUUCGUUCCAGUUGAAACCAUGGUUUAUGUCGAUCGGAUGGUAGAGAGUAGUAAGAGAUAGCCAAGGGUCAUCCCAAAUGCUGGUUGUUUUCCUAUUACCAAUAGCUUUCCCCAGAUUUUUUAGAAUAUUUCCCCAAAACACUCUGGCGAGGAGGCUUUCUAGAUUUUGCAGCAGUCUCCAACUGAUUUUGGUGAGAAGAGCGUCAUUGAAGCUUUCAAUAUAGGCCUUUGUCCUGCUUAGACUUGGUUAGAGUGGCUGGACAGGACCGACUUUAGAAGAGUUAAUAUCUCUGCAUUGGACAGAAAGUUUGAUGACCUGCUGACGAUCUUCUGUCGGAUUCGAUUCACGAUGAGAGUAAGCAAGUCCUUCUUUCUACUUCUGAAAUGUUCAGACAAACCCAGGUACUUGCCUUGAUCUCCUUCAUUUUAGAUUCUCAGAGUUAGCUUGACUCUUUCUCGAACUUCAACAAGGGUUUUCUUAGAGAAGGUAAUCGAUGAUUUAGAAGAAUUGAUCAUCUGGCAUGAGGCUUUCUCAUACUUUUGGAGGAUUGACUUUAGUUCCUGACAAUUUCUUUCACUUGUUUUGCAGAGAAAAAUGGUAUCUUCUGCGAAUAAAAUGUGGUUGAUUCUCGGGCUUCCUUGUGAGACUCUGAUUUCGCUGAGACGUUCAUUUGCUUGAGCCUUUUUACACAGACCCGAUAAAACUUCUCCACAAAAUAUGAAGAUGAAAGGAGAUAGAGGAUCUCUUUGACGGAUAUCUCGCUGAGGUAUGACCAGUCCCCUUGCUGCACCAUUAAUAAGGACCUCUUCGAUUAAACUCCACUCAAGACGAUCAUAGGCCUUACUCAUAUCGGUCUUGAUGGCCAUUGAGCAAUGGAUUUGGGCUUCAGAAUGUUUCAGGAAGUGGAGAGUCUCGUGUGAUAUCAUCACAUUGUCAGAGAUAGCCCUUCCAGGGAUUAGCCUCACAUGGGUGGCGUUGAUAGUCCUUGAAAUGUUGCCCGAGCUGAAUAUGUUCUGGACUUCCUCUACAACUUUUUGUCCCACAAUAACCCAAUUUGAUUGAAAAAAACCAGAUGAGAAGCCGUCGGGUCCUGGUGCCUUAUCAGGAUGAAUUUAAAAAAUCACCUCUCUAAUUUUCUUUUUUUGAUGGCAUUUCAAUAAGUGCUUCAUUUGUUUCCAUGGAAAUGCAAGGUACAAGAGAUUGGCUCACUGUUUGGGCACGGCUUGUGGUGGUUGCAGCAAAGAGAUCAGAAUACAUGAAAAGAGCCUGUGUUUUUAUCACCGAGGGAGAGCCAGAGGUUCCUGCUCCUUUGUUUCCAAUAUGGUGCUCUCUAUUCCAGGUGAUUCCAGGAGUGUAAGCAGAGGACGGUGGUCUGACCAUUCAAAUCUUAGUGGACAAGGUGUGUAUGAAGAACUCUUGUCCAUGAUCAGAAAUUCUCGGAAUCUUGGAGAUCAAAGAAAUCACAGCGUGACAAAAAAGUUCUGAAGUCGACAAAAGUUCUUUCUUCACGUAGUGGGCCUCCAUUUUUCUCAGAGUUAUCUAUGAUUUGAUUAAAAUCACCAGAUAAAUACCAUGGGGAAUCGCGAGUGUUGGCCAGUGAGUUGUUGCAAGAGGAUAGGACCACCACUUUGAUUUAUUUUUUCCAAUACAGCGCAAGCCCUCAUCUAUUAACAAUGUGGGCGGAAACAAAGUUGCUGGACUGUUGCAGGUUCCCCAGCCCACAACAGUUCCAACUAAUAAUGCUUAAGGAAGAGGAUCAUGCGGAUCCUGAAAAUCCGCAUGUGGCUUAGGGGAAGCCGAGUUUCUUUUCUUUGAAGCUUGUGCAUGGUUAGAGGUGUUUGGGAUCGAGGGUCUUUGCGUGUUACUUUGGUUGGGACCAGCUCGAGGGAUUCCAGAGGAGUAAUUACUCAUCGAGGGUCUGGCUUGUUGGAUUCUUAGAGUUUUUUUUUUAAUCUAAUGUUAAAUUAUUCUCAAAAGAAAAAAAUAAUGUUCUUAAAAACUGUGGUUGAAAUUUUUAACUUCUAAAAAAGAUCAAAACUUCUCGGGUUGAAAACCAUUCCCAGAGAACUUCCUCGUAUCGCAGAUUGCCACUCCUUCGGAUCGAACUUAGUUGGUUCCGAAUGCACUUGUCAAUCAUCUUGGUCAGCCACUCCUCAAUGAUGGUUGUUUCUCCAUAUCUUUGGUUGUUCUGUUCCUGCCAUAUCGCAUGGGUGGAGGCUUGAAAUGCGUAACAAAUUAUAAAAGUGGUGAUCUAGUGCUGCGUCCUCUUAGAGUUAUAUUUCUUGUCUUUGCAGCUUUUGAGCUUGGCUUCGGAGAAUUUUACAGAUGAUGUGCCAGGAUCUUCUUUGAGACAGCUCCCUUGAGGAGAUGACUUGCAGAGGAGAUCUUCCUUGGGAGUCCACCUCUCUUUUUUGGUAAGAUCGUCUCUGGUCCGAUAACAUUGUUUGUUUCUGAUGGUUGAGGUACUGUUUCUAUUUGACUCUGAUCCAGAAGUUGAGGGGCCUGUUGGAGGGAUUGUGCUAGAAUCCUUGUAUAACUCUUUGUAUUCUUACAGCGCUCUCAAUUGGAUCAGCACAGUUGAUGUACUGGAUAGUGACCUUUUGUAAUUCCUCUAUAAUUUGUUCUGCAUAUUUGAUUGGGGGAGGGGUGACUUCAAACACUUCCCACUCCACAUUUCUUUUCAAUGAAGGGAUUCUCGGGCGUGAGGUAGUGGUUCUUUUAUCUCUUUGUUCUUGAUGGAUAUCCUCCUAAGAAGGGAUUGGUGGUAUUUUUCUCUUUAUAUUGGCCUUACAUUUUUGUGGGUUCUGGUGGGAUGACUAUCAUGAAACAAUGAGUAGUUACCAUUAUAGUCUUGAGAUGCUCUUUGGUACUGUGAAAAGUCUUUGAGGUGUGGCCAUGAGGUAUGUGAGGUUAUUAUGUCGUGUCUUGUCAUGGUGGGAGGAAUAUAGGCUGCUCUAUAAUGCUCCAGGUGCGUUUCUGUUGUCUCCAGAGACACGCUGAGAUGGACGUUUUCUGUAAGGGUGACCAUGCCUAUCAGUUCUUUGGCUGUAUUCAUCAUCGUCUGGUUUGCGGUUCAGAGAGUAGUCUUUCAAGAGUUAGGCGGUGGCAGUAGGUACAGAACUUAUCGAGCUUCUCGUAUUGCAGGGCUACAGCCGUUUCCUCUCCUGUUGCAAAGUUAGUGAUUAUUUUUCAUGGUGAGAGGAACCAAAGCGUUGACAGUGACUCAGACCUUUGCAUUGGUUAUGGUGAGUUCAACUGCUUCCAGUUUACUGAGAUUUUUUCCGAUAUUCGUUAGCAUCUUCUCCUGCCAGUAGUGGAGCAUGAGUCUUUUGAGCACUAUUCAGAAAGGACUACCUGAUAGGAAUUCUGGAGAUAUGAUUGGUUCUCAUUUCUGAAUGAUGAGCAUCCAUCUUGCGUAAAGAUGAGGUCUUCCAUCGAGAAUCCUUUGGAGAUCCUCUUGGACUUCAAACCGAAAUUGGAAGCAGUCUCUUCCAAGGUCAGAACCUAUUGCUUCCCCCCCCCCCCUCCCACUCCCCUGAGACCCCACCUUUUUGAAAAGGAGGAGAGCAUAUACCACAUUCUCUGUUCACGUAGGUUGGUGAGUCUUCCAAUAAGAGUCAGUUGGUUAUCCUUGACUAGAUCACAUGUGUCCAAGGCCGGCGCUCUAAUGCACUUAACCGGAGGUGGUUCUGGUGAGUACGUUAUCCCUUUGUCUUUCUCCGAGUAAGUGAAUCUGCAACCAUGGCUGUUCAGAUGAAAUUGCUUAAGAGAAAUUUUGGAAAUUGUUUAAGGAGCAGAUGGUUUGAAAGUAGUUCGGCCAGGUGUAGCUCCUUAAGAUAUGUAGAGAGGUAGAGAGGCGUUUAGGGGUUCAAGAGGCGUUCAGAGGACUGAUGGGUAAAGGGUUGCAUUGUUUUAUGAUUGUUAGUAUUCAGAGAUAAUUGAUUUUUUACAAGGAACUUUGGGUAAUAGCUGUCUUGUUUUGGUAAAACUAGGUUCAAUCGGAAGCGGAAGCUGGAUGUGUAAUACUUAAUUUACUAAAAUAAUUACAUCAUAUGUCAAUAACAUUAAUUUGGUUAGAAA